rnacentral:lncRNA from 1 species
AAUAUGAACUAGUUAUCAACAGGCAUGACAAAAAAAGCAAGUUAAUAUUUAGUUUUACAUAAAAAUUUCAUACUCUUCCAAAAAUAACUAUAUCUCCAAAAGGUAAGAUGGUCAAUAAAAAACUAAAUUUGAACGUCCAGUAGUAGGGUGAGGGAGGCAUUUUUUAUUGUUACCAGUAACAGUAUGACAUAACUCUGCACAUCCUUUUGGUAAUGUAUAUGUGUUUUCUUUGAGCUACUAUCCCAUCUUUAC